rnacentral:rRNA from 1 species
AGAGUUUGAUCCUGGCUCAGGAUGAACGCUAGCGGCAGGCCUAAUACAUGCAAGUCGAACGGUGAUAGCAAUAUCAUAGUGGCGCACGGGUGCGUAACACGUAUGCAACCUGCCUAUUAUUGGGGGAUAGCCUUUGGAAACGGAGAUUAAUACCGCAUAAUACGAUUGACUGGCAUCGGUUGAUUGUUAAAGCUUCGGCGAUAAUAGAUGGGCAUGCGUCCAAUUAGUUAGUUGGUUAGGUAACGGCUGACCAAGACGAUGAUUGGUAGGGGAUCUGAGAGGAUAAUCCCCCACACUGGCACUGAGAUACGGGCCAGACUCCUACGGGAGGCAGCAGUAGGGAAUAUUGGGCAAUGGGCAGAAGCCUGACCCAGCCAUGCCGCGUGCAGGAAGAAGGCGUUAUGCGUUGUAAACUGCUUUUUUAUAGGAAGAGGGAUCCCUUGCGAGGGAAGGCGACGGUACUAUAAGAAUAAGCACCGGCUAACUCCGUGCCAGCAGCCGCGGUAAUACGGAGGGUGCAAGCGUUGUCCGGAUUUAUUGGGUUUGAAGGGUGCGUAGGCGGUUUAUUAAGUCAGUGGUGAAAGACGGUCGCUCAACGAUUGCAGUGCCAUUGAUACUGGUAG